GGUUGGAGCCUCAGCAUGCCUAAGCCAGCCUCCUGGGGGAGCUGGGACUGGCUCCUGGGCUCAGGUUGCUGCCUCGUCUCGCCUCAGCCCAUCCCUUUGCCCACACCUCGAGGUGCCAGCCCAGGUUACUAGAGGCAGGAGUGGCACAGAGGCAGUCCGAAACCCCAUGGACACUUACUUGGUGGCACAGCCUCCUCUGAGAGUUUCUACAAGCAAGGGCCCUGUGAGUUCCACCACCAAUCCCGAGGCUUGUGAGGAAACCUGGGGCUGGAUUCCAGACUGUGCAGUGUGGGAGAGUCUCAGAGAACUCCAGAGGGUGACACUCAUGCCCGAGAAGGAGACGUUGCCAAGUCUGCAGAGCUGGGCCUGGGAGCCAGGGCAGCAACAUGAUUUAGCGACACAGAAAAUAAGAUUUCUGCCAAGAGCCACACCACCCUGAUCUCAGCAGGUCUCAGAAGCUCAGCGGGGUCUGGCCAGGUUGGUACUUGGAUGGGAGACUGAGACUAUCAGGGUUAAAAAAAAAUCCAGUUUCUCCCUGCUCUAAACCCCUGCUCUUCAUUGCCUGGCCAUUGCCUCAGGACCCAUUCAGAGGACUAGAAACCUCUGAAUGAGUCUCAGCCUCUCCCUUGCUUGCUCCUAAGGAGGGCUGGGUGUUAGCCAGCCAGGUCUGGGGUGCAGGACAGACAGGCAGGGUGGGCGGAGACAGGAAGGGAAGGAGGUUCCUGCUUCUUGGAUCAGCUUCUGAGCUGUCUUUUGUUUUGAAUAAUUCAGGUAAUGGGUAAACAGGGAGAAAACUUUUCAGUCCAUGUAAAAUGCUGAUAAAGCACAGACAGAGGAUGAAAAUAGGAAAGAUUCAAAAGUUGGAAGUGAUGUGAAUGUUUCCCAUUUCAAGUGAAAGGCUACCGAGUUUUGGAAGAAGAAGAAAAUAAAUGAAAGAUAAUUUUAAGAAGUGUUGUUCUGGUUUUUAAAUGGAAUUCCCUUUAGCAUUCUUUCAGACACUUGAGUGAAAACUGAAAUUAACCACUGAUGCCUUUUGUUUCAGGCUUGUGCUGCUUUGACAGUGACUCUGUGUAUAGCCUGGACCACAUGAAGCCCAGUUUCUAUUUGGAUUACACAUACACAGGUGCAUGCACACACACUAUAGAAGUGCAUCUCAGAAAUGUACUCUUAAGGGGACAACGGAAAUGAUUCAUUGCACCAUGGAAAUGUAUUCAUUCAUCUGUUAAGCAGCCGUGUCUAUCUCACUGAUGGAUUAAGGUCCAGUCUUAUUCUGUAUGCUGACUCCUUCAUUCCCCCCUCCUUGGCAAAGCAUUUUACUUCAGCUAGCUUCAAAGGGUGUCACACCCAGGCUGCAGAAAUAAGUCUCCUCUCUGCUUUAAAUUUCACAAUGAACCCUGCUAUAGAAAUCAUAAAACGAGAUGCUUUUCUCAUCUGCUGCAGCCAGCCCCAAAGUGCAUCCAGCCAUAUCAAAUUAAAGCUGCUUACCGUGUCAGCUCUGGCUGAAACCAGUGCAGAAGCAUUGCUGAACUUCCUGGAACUUGUGGACAGAACAUCUGCCAAGGCAGCUGGAAGCUGAAGUACCAAGAAAAUU
ensembl:lncRNA